rnacentral:lncRNA from 1 species
CUUGUCAAAAAAAUUGGCGUUUUUGUUUCCAUGAAACAUCUACUCCUUGGAUAGCCCAGAGUGUGGAAGUCGAUGCAAAGCGCUAAGCCAUUUAAAAUCUAAAUCAGACUUUAAUAAGGGAAUGUCAUGUUUCAUUUAAAAGCUUCUCUUCACCUCUUUUCUUAUGCUGUCAAGUGAAAGAAAAGCUGGCUUUAUAAUUACAUGGCUGCCUCUGCGUUAGAUUCUAUGUGAGAUCUCACGUUAUUUUUCCACACCUUUCCCUCUCUCAAGCCCUAUCCCACCUCCUUCCAUGUCUGCUAUCUAAUCCCCCCUCCCCAGCUUUCUUCCUUCUGCUUCCUGCUUCUUAAUGAGCUGACAGAAUGAUGGAGCUCUGUUGAUUAAGCUGCUGAAUGGCGGUGGCCCUUAUUAAUUUAGGAAUGACGAGCAAAAAAUAAAAUAAAUGACUAGUGUGAAAUGUUUCUCACUGCGGAUCAUCAUCGUAGCCCUACUGGGUAGAAGAUUAGGUGAUUUUGGUUUCCACUGCACAGCAGAGCGUGAAAUCAGAUGGAAUUUAACUUUGACAGAUAUUUACUCUCUCUUUAGUAAUAAAGAAUUAGUUUUGUAGGGUUUUUAUUUGACCCUUCUUAUAUUCCCUGAAUUCUACGUUUCCUCUGGGGUCAGUUUUUCUCUGUUUAGCUUUCUUCUUCAUACUGUAGGCUUUUCUCAAAUAUUUGGGCAUUCUCAGUUGUCUGGCUAUUCUUAAGAAUGAGACAGGAGAAAGACUGACUAGACACUCUAAGCACAGGAGUGGAACUUGCUGACCGGCAGGCUUCAAUUUAGGGUAAACAGCCAGAGAUCUGUUUGUUGUGCUGUGGCCCCUCAAAUGCCAGAAUGUAGAUGGCUUCGUGCUGGGGUACCAGUGAUGACUCUAGAUGCCCAAGUGUUCUCAGAAAGAUCCUUCAGUGUCUUUUAAAAAGUCCCUGUUGGUCAUUUUUUGGUUGGCUGCUUGGUUUUGCUCUUUUCUGUGGUCAAACUACCUAGUUGCCAGGGUUCUUGGCACCAGAGUUGAGGAGGUGUGUGGAGGACGACCAUUUCAUACACAGACCUUCACUGUCUUCUGUCUCCCCUUCAUCCAGGAACUUCUCUGAGUCCCCGACCUCUGCAAGGUUCUACCACAUAGGGAGGCACCCUCAUCUCCUGCGAGACUCUUCAAGCAUAUCCUGAGCUAUAGCUUCUUCUACUCAGUGCUCUUCCAUAUACUCUGUCUUCCAGAAAUUCAUUGAAAUCACUUAUCCUCUUGUUCUCUAAACCCUUUUGGUAUGUACCUUUUAUAUCCCAUUACUAUAAGUAUAAGUGAGUCUUAGAAGGGAUAGGAAAUAAAUAUGUAUGCUCAAAUCCCCAACAUGAACCAGUAGCAAGGGUAGGUAUUCUUCCCAUUUUACACAUGGAAAACAGAGGCUUAUGUGAUUAAGUGACUUGCCUAAGAUCACGUAGCUAGAAAGGGAAGGGCCAGGAUUAAACUUGUAUUCUUUUGACUCUGCUAAACUACUUCUUUUUGUCCAAACCAUGGCUCAGCUGGUAUGACCUGGAAAAAAAAGAAUUUACAUAAUACUAUGAGUUUUAAAUAUGCUGUCACUUGUGCAUAAAAAUGAUCAGAAACUGCCCAGACUAAAAACUGUGCAACAUCAUUUUACAAGUUGCAUACCUAGAUACAAUGAGAAAUCAUCAAAGUCAUAAAACAGCAAUUUUAUAUUGGGUGGGUCAGGUUGGAGUGGACCAGAACUGAGGAGAGAAAAUUGGUAGGAAAGGCUGGAUUAUCAUUUGGGUAACGGUGGCAAGGGCUUGGCACACUGAAUGCUCUCAGCUCUAUCAAAUCUACUUUAGAAGUCACAAUUGGGGAGCAAUUGCCCCAAAGAGGUGGUGCAGACUCCAGAGCAGUGGCAUGGAUGGAAGAGACUUGUUGGGAAGACAGGGCACCCCAUCCACUUGGAAGCCACUCUCUCAUAUACAUUUAAUAAUUGUUAAGUGACUGCCAUGUACAGACACUGCAAUAGACUCUAGAGACACUUUCACCUUCAGCCAGGGUGAUAUCUGCAAAAGAUGAAGAUCUCUUUGUUUCUGGAGACUUCUAGAAAUCAAAACCCUACAAUAUCUCAUAGGAACACAUCACAUUCAUAAUGGUUUAAGAUUUAAAGUAUUAGAAUUGUUCUAGUUCAACUGCAAAGGUAGUUUUGAGGGCUUUUGAAUAGCUAGUCAUUUAUUCCACAAAUCUUUAUUGAGCUUCUAGUUAAUGGCAGCCACUGGAGCUAGGACCUAGGGACACAAUGGUGAAGAAUACGAGAUUAUUUCUAAUGUUUACCACUUAGCCACCAAAGACAAUGCUGAGGCACCUAGUUUUCUCUUUCUCAGAGGCAGAGGCCAAGUUAUCUUCUAAGUAUGAAAUGUAGAGAUUGACUCUUGUUAGGGCCACAGAAAACUGGGGAGGUGGAUGGUGAACAUGCUAUUAGCUGGUAUUAGUUCACUGUGAUAUUAAUUUAGAUGCAUGAUAUCCUGGCGAAGAACAGAUCUUAACAGAAGAUCUUUCUGCUCACAGUGUUUUUCUCGAAUUUUCACCUUUCCUGUGGCUGUUUUGGUCUCAUUCUGACACUGUAGGAAAAUUCACGUGAAAUCUGGAACAAGUGAGCAUGUACCCUCUGUCCUCAAAGGUUGGGACACAAGCCUGUGAACUUGGAAAGAGAACAAAGCUUUCUAGUAUGAUAAACAAAGAAAAUGGAGAUUAAAAAGUCUGGUUUCCUCUUUUUUGCAUCAGCACAUACCAGCUGUCAGAUACCUCUGAAUAAUCUAUUUCUUCUGUUCCUGAAAGGUAGAUAUUAUUAUUACAGCAUUUCCAGAAGGAAGUAUAUUUUAAUUUUCAAUAAAAAUGGCCACAAAUGAAGUGGUAAUGCAAAGAACAGAAGAGAAACUUUUACAGCUAUAGUAUUUGCAUUUGUGACUUUUUCCGUCUAAUUCCACUUUCUCCACUGAUCCCUGAAACCUCGCCAGCAGGCUGACACCCUGAUAAACUCCAAAAGGAAGAAGGAAAACAGUCUGAAAGGCAGGGAGGGUGUGGUCGCUAGAGGGGUAUGGUGAACAAGAAGAAAAGUGCAGCUACUCCAGUGCAUGCAGAUAAGGCGUGAGGUUCAAGGGCUGAAAGGAAGCACACAGAUUGCAGCGUGCCCACUUGGUACUGGUGACAGACUUCCAACGGAGGAGCCCCACCUUCGGGUUCUUUUGUUUAGGCCUGACUUCCAAACAAAGCAAGCUGGACGACCAGUCCUAACAUCAAGCAGCAGAAAGCUUCCUUCCUUUGGAAAAUCUAGUAAAGGCAUCUCUCUAAGCCCUCUUAUUGCAAAAACGGCCUGCUUUCUCCUGAAGUUUCUGCUGUUAGAGAAGACUUGCGAAGGCUGUGAUAGCAGAGUGCAAAGAGGUAGGCAUUUAGGAUAAAAACAUGAGUGCACGUCCAUCCAACCCCUCAGGGCUAAUUCCCCUCCCUGAGCCUCAAAUUCUUCACUGUAUAAUGUGGUCGGGAGGUUGAAUCAGAAAACAAAAGUGGUUCUAAAUUUCUAAAAGACUUCUUUUCUCUAUUUCCCUCUUUACCUCUUUCUUCCAAUUAAAAAAGCUUAAGCUGUAAAAUCAUAAUCCAGUCUACCUACUUUCCACAUUUUUUUCUGAGUGUGCUGUGGAGUCGACUCUGACUCCUAGUGAGCCUACCCAGUCUUUAUUGGCUCCAUCCUUUCACCUUCCAGCUCUGUAUUUGACAAUGCUCCACUGCCCUUCACAGGGCUUUCACAAUCAACUUUUUUCAGAAGCGGCUGGCCAGGUCCUUCUUCCUAGUCUGUCUUAGUCUGGAAGCUCUGCUGAAACCUGUCCACCAUGGGUGACCCUGCUGGUGUUUGAAAACCGGCGGCAUAGCUUUCAGCAUCCCAGCAACAUGCAGCUGCCACAGUAAGAUAACUGACAGACAAGUGGCGUGGUUCCCUGACCUGGAAACGAACCCCAGACUGCAGGGUGAGAGCGCUGAAUCUUAACCACUAGAUCACCGGGCUGGCUGCUUCCCAUAUACCCGAGAUUAAUUUAAGCACAUUCUGAGUAACAUGAUAAAGUUAUCUUUAGAAACAUACACACACCAGUUUCAGAAUGGCACCCCCUGGGGUCCCUGCUGCCAAUUUGGUCCAGGAACACAAAGUCAGCAUCUUGAUGUCAGGCAGUGUCCUGGCCAACACCCACUACCCACUGCAGUUGGUGCUUUCUCAGAAGACAACACCUUGCUUUCAAAACUGUCUACUUUUUUGCUCAAAACAAUGAUGGAUGGAUGGAUAGGUCUUCAUUUGACUCACUACCUGAAAAAUCAGCUUCUCAUGUGAUUUCCCCAAAGCAGAAUUAACUCACAUAAUUUUGUGUCACAUACCAGGGCUCUUCCUUGCAUAAAAAACAGUAAGAUAUCACCAAACUCUGGCCUGAAAGUUCUUCUAGGAUAUCUUGUGGUAUCACCAUUCCUAGGUGCAUGGUAGUCAUAAGUGACUUCAUCAGCCAAAUAUGAAACUGGUUCGAUACUGCCCCUGUAGGAGUCAAAUUCUUAUGCAUUUACAACUUAAUAAAUUACCAUUCAGGGUUGUAUUAGCAAGUUUGCUUUGUUCCAGCCCUUUUAUAGUUGAGACUCCCAGAUUUCUGUUUCAGGUUGGAAUUGGCAAAUGAACUUUUCAAAGCAUUUCAUCCUCACAAGUCACAUCUUGUCAUCUUUCAUAUCCACAUGAGACACCAAGCCCUAUUUCACUCUUGUUUAAAUUUUAUUAUCAUUGUUAUUAGGAAUAAACCAAUAGAAAUAGGAUUACAAAGGGAAAGGUUCAGGAUGAAUAACUUCUUCCUUAUAAAUUCAAACACAGGUGCACACACACAUGCUGGUCUGUGUGAGUUACUUCCUCCCCACAUUCUGUCCUCCUGCACAAACAGUUAUACAAAACAGUCCGCACAACAAUGUGAGCAGCUGGUACCACAACCUGAGCAAAGGACCCCAGUUGUGUCAAGUCUCAGGCUGACUCUUGGUCGAGAUGACCAGCUUCUCCACGCUAAGAGUACUUGUGGUUUCAUCCUCUUCAUUUGACCCAAAAUAUCCCGGGAGGUCCAGCAUCCUCUGCUCGGCUUCAGUGAGGCCGAAUGAUGUAUUGUCGUAGAAGGCGAACUCGGGGUGCGCGGGAAGCUCUGGCACUUGUCUUUCCGACAUUGAGAAGGGCUCAGAGGACUGACCCUCUGGUAGCUAUCUUUGGGGGCAGUGGGGAGGGCUGCUUCCUUGAGACACUCCUGUGACUGGGGGACGGUCCCCGCCGAGCUCUGUGAGGCUCUGUUCUCUCGCCUCCUGCCACCAAUCCCGCCUGACGAUCCCCUAGGUCUGGCUUCCUGGUGGGCUGCCCCAAGGUGUAGGAUUUAGGGAGGGGGCUUAGUGGACCAGCGGUUCCACCUGCCCCUUGGAAAUGGUCCAGUUUCUCAGGAAGCGCGGCAGCACCCCGACUCUGAGGCCUGAACCUGUCUUCUGCCUGGUCCCAGGUCCGCGUCCUAGAACUGUAGGCGGGGCCUGCCGUGGGGUCAGGGUGACAUGCUCCUCUCCCUGAAGGGCCGCGCCUGCUUGGUCUCGUGGAAACUGGCUGUCCUCCGGAAGUGGGAACUCCUGGGGUGGCUCCGCUCCGACAGCCCCCCUCUGCUGCCCACGUGCCUCAUCUGGGAUUUGCGGAUCACGGUCUGGCUGGGGCUCACGGCACAAGUGGCCUGCGAGACCCCGACAUCCAGCCUGGAGGGAGGCCUCUCCCCGGCGCUGACCGCGGGCUGGUCCAGAAACGGGGAUUUGAUCCUGAACUUGUUUGCGGCAGCUUCUUCCGGGUUCUCCAAGUCUAAGAGGGCGACGGCGGCGGCGGCGGCGUCGAUGGCCGUGUCUGUCAGGGGGCUCUGAGACACGUGGUACACCUUGGUGGUUUCUGUCAGGCCUUUCUUUUUCAUCUCCUUCAGCUGCUGCUGGGCAAGGCGGUAGCUGAACAGCGGUGGGAUUAUCUUCUGCGCGUUGGACUGGAAGCUGUCACUGCCGGAAGCGUCGUCCUCGGGAGUGGCCGGCACGCUGCGCCUGUAGGUCAGAGGGAUGCCCAUGUCCCCCGGGCCCCCCACAGGCCCGUCACCCCCAUCCGAGAAGCUCCCGCGCUGCUGGCUCAGCUCGCAGAUGUUCUCCUCAUCUGAGUUCUUCCGGAAGCUGGGCGAGUGGAGGGAGUUGUGCCGAGCGGGGUGCUGCACUUGGGGGGCGGCCGAACUUCCUCCACAGCGUGAUGAGGACGGUGGCCACGAUGAUGAACAAGCACAGCGAAAUCCCAGUGACCGUCACGAUGUUGUUGGACUUCACCGGGCCCUGCGGCUGAAGAGGAGACGGGCUGGAUGGCCGGAAAGCUACAAAAAAGAAUUGAGAGGAGCAGGCAUAUGUGGAGGAAGUUAUACACAAGGAAGGAGCUGUGGAAAGUGAAGAGGACUUGAAAAGAGCAGACAGAGAAGAGAGCCUUAGACAACAGCAUGAGACACAACUGGAGAAAGAACAAUUCAGGGUGGGGCCCAGGGCUUAUGAAAGAAGAGGGGCAGGGUGAGGGCUAGGAGAAGAGCCUGGGCCUGAGGCUGUAAUAGGAAAACACGGAAGUGAGAAUAUCCUCAGGAUGCUAGAAUAAAGAGAACAAAGCCUACAGUAUUGGCUGCAAAGACGAGAUAGCAACAAUGAUUUUCUAAGGCCACAGGUCGGGACACUGGCCAAGAUGUAGCCAGAUGCCUGUGGUUUUGGCUAAAAGGUGCUCCUUAGCCAAAAGUUGUGUUGAGAGCCAAACACAGAAAAACACCUAACUUCUCCCUAUCCCAAAGGGAAAAGGAACUAGGGAUGGUUUUUAACCUGGAACUGGACAGUGGAAGAAGGCAGGACUUGACAGAAUGACUUUAUCUAGAGUUGGGACCAGAGCAAAGGCCAGCCAACUAAGUGGAGGGCUGAUUGUAUAUCAGAAGGUGGGAUGGUGUGUGGGACGAGCAAGGAGCCUUUAUUACUAUAACCUAUGCCAAAUGAAUGGGAUGCAGCUAACUAAGUCAUGUGAGCAUCACAUCUAUGGACCAUUCACAUCACUUAUUGAGCAUCUACCAGUGUGUACCUUCAAGAUGCUUAGACGAUUAAGGAAAGUCAGUCUCCAGGUGAAGGAAAGAAGAAAUCUCCCCACCUUCUCCUGGGUAGGGGUGGUAUGGAACACAUGUAGAGCCAUUCAAGGGACAAGACAAGCUGUCUUGCCUCGUUCUGACAAAUAACCUCUGUGUGGUCCCUAGGGCUUCUCUGGGAUGAUAAGGAGAAGAAAACCUUUUGAAUUUUUCCCACAGUUUUGGUGGGGAGAAGUAACAAAACAAAAAACUCUUGGGAAGAAAUGAUCAUCCCACCCAUUUUUGUAUUUUUAAAAAUUAUUUAAUAUAUCUGAAGUUUUAAGUUAGAUAGAUUUCCGUGUCAUUUCCUGAUCUUCCACAGUGGUAAAUGCCCUGUCAUCCCACUGGCCAGUUACUCCCAGUCAUAGACACACUAAGGAAUACAGGGUUAGUACAGCCAACAGCAAUAACAGAACGUUAAUGAGUCCACCCCCGAACUCAGACUGGUGACUUUCAGGCAGCUUGGGUUCAAGAAUCUCUCAGAUGGAGGCUCUGAGGAGAGACUCCUGAAGGCAGAAUACCUACCAGCACACUCCUCCAGGGAACACAGGGAGGUCUCCGAGGACAUUCCGGGGCAGCCAGGUCUGGAGGGGAAGGAAGUCAGGCACACGCGGCGACGCUCUCUGACACCAUCCCACACGUGGCACUACACUGGCUCCACGGCUGCCACAGUCCCCAAGUUUCUGCAAGGACAUUAGCCAUGCUUUUAAUGCUAGUUCAUUUGAGAAUCAGACUUUAACUGUACCCAAAUGAAGCAGCCAACUCAAAUCUCAGGUCUUGAAAAGUCAGUAAAUAAAAACAUUCCUAAAGAUGUGAAAAAGCUGGAAAAGAGUGUUGCUCCUACCCUUAACACAAAGAAAGGCUAUAUAAUCUACAAAACACUAACCUUCCUAGAACCCCACAGAGGUAAGAUCACAGGGCCACCAACUAGCCUGGAAUAUAAGGAAAGACAGGAUGCAAACACUGCUUACCUGGGGCAGACACCAGGCCUCAUAUAAGCUGGUGAGAAGUCAUCUAAAAAUGUAAUGAACUGCUAGAGGCCUAGCAUGGGCUAGCAUGGGAAUAUAGGACCCCUGGGAGCCACAUAUGCAGGGGGAAUUUGUACCCAUUUGCAG